GUGGGGAAUAUUGCACAAUGGGCGAAAGCCUGAUGCAGCGACGCCGCGUGAACGAAGAAGUAUUUCGGUAUGUAAAGUUCUAUCAGCAGGGAAGAAAAAUGACGGUACCUGACUAAGAAGCUCCGGCUAAAUACGUGCCAGCAGCCGCGGUAAUACGUAUGGAGCAAGCGUUAUCCGGAUUUACUGGGUGUAAAGGGAGCGUAGGCGGUGGUUUAAGUCUGAUGUGAAAGCCCGGGGCUCAACCCCGGUAUUGCAUUGGAAACUGAAUCACUAGAGUGUCGGAGGGGUAAGUGGAAUUCCUAGUGUAGCGGUGAAAUGCGUAGAUAUUAGGAGGAACACCAGUGGCGAAGGCGGCUUACUGGACGAUUACUGACGCUGAGGCUCGAAAGCGUGGGGAGCAAACAGG
rnacentral:rRNA from 1 species